rnacentral:rRNA from 1 species
AGCCUGAACGCUGGCGGCGUGGCUAAGACAUGCAAGUCGUACGGGUGUAGCAAUACACCAGUGGCGGACGGGUGAGUAAUGUAUCGCUAACGUGCCCUUCAGUCCGGGAUAGCCGAGGGAAACUUCGGGUAAUACCGGUUGACAUCACGAGCAGGCAUCUGCUUGUGCUCAAAGGCGUAAGCCGCUGAAGGAGCGGGCGAUAUCGUAUCAGCUAGUUGGCGGGGUAACGGCCCACCAAGGCGACGACGCGUAGCCGGACUGAGAGGUUGGCCGGCCACAUUGGGACUGAGACACUGCCCAGACUCCUACGGGGGGCUGCAGUAACGAAUCUUCGCAAUGCACGCAAGUGUGACGGAGCGACGCCGCGUGUGGGACGAAGCCCCUCGGGGUGUAAACCACUGUCAGGGGAUAGAAAGUUCUGAUCAACCCCAGAGGAAGGCACGGCUAACUCUGUGCCAGCAGCCGC